UCCCCAGACUUUCCCCUAGUGUCUACAGGUGGUUUCAAGUGUGAACGAAUGAAGGAGCGAGCAGAAGACCACCGAAGCCCUCACCCCACAGGGACACCUGAGCUGGGACCCAAGCAGGGGACAGCAGGCUCACCCCGCCCUUGCAGGACUGACCACGCGCCAUGACGAAGGCUCGUGUAGCUGGCGCCAUGUCGGACAGCAGGGGAGAGAGAAAAUGCACAACCCAGCAAAUUCGGAGACAGGCCCAGCACUGGGCAUGGCGGCCAGAAGGAGCAGCCGGAGAGUAGGCAGGGCCUGGGAUGGCCUUGCAGGUCAGAGGUCAGGGAAGGCCUGGGGGUGGUGAAUGAGCAGGCCCCGCAAUGAUAUCGGAGGGGCAGGCGGGGAAGGUUCCCGGAAGAGCAGCCCGGAGAGCAUGCACAGGGAGGCAGCGGCCAGAAGGCGGGAAGGGGGCCCUGGCAUGUCCAGCGGGCAGCAAAAGGCUGGCAUGGCUGCACCGGGGCAGUGGUGGUGGAUGGGUGGCCUGGGGCUGGAGUUCGGGCAGAGUCAGACCACGCCGGGCCUUGUAGGCCAGUGCCAGGGCUUUGCAAGUGCUGCUGAGGGGCACAGGCCUGGACAGGCUGGCAUGGCUGUGGCAGGGCCCCUGUGGCUGCUCUGCUGAGGGCGAGGGCGGAGGGCAGAGGCUGGAGCAUCAGGAGGCCCUGCCCAGCCACGGUGCCCUGGGGAGGGCUGCCCAGUUCUGGCCGUGCCUUGAAAGUUUGCCCGAAAGAUUCACUGUGGAGCAGAUGUGGUCACAGGAGCAAGGGAGAAGUCAGAAGGCCUGGGCCCUGGGGGACAGGUCAGAGGUCAGGGAAGUCCUGGAUAGGGUGAAUGAACAGCCCCCACCAGUGAUAUCAGAGGGGCAGGGUGGGCCCUACGGCCUGGGCCCUGGGGAACAGGGCGCACCCCCUGGGAGGGGGACAUCCCAUCACCAGGGAGCCUUCUGAGACCAUUUUGCAGGUGGGGAAACUGAGGCUCAGGAGGAAAAACCAGCUGCCCAGCACUCAAAGACCCAGAGCCUGCCUGCCUGCCCUUGCAUCCUAGUCUGUCCCCAGAUCUGAACCUGCUCCAGCCCCAGAACCCUGAGUGCAGCCAAAGGGGAGCAGGGCUGGAGAGCGGGAGCCCCCACAUGGUGGCCUGCGUGGCGCAGAAGAGGCCGUCCCCGGCCAGAGCGGUGGGAGAAAGGCUCCUUCACGCAGACGCUGCGGCCCAUCCCAGAGGGUCCCGGAGCUGGGGACAGCUCCCAGCGAGGGGCCUGGGAUUUGGCAGCCAUAGGAGACCCACUGUCCCACCCCUUCCCUCAUGGAUCUUCUGACACCCUCCAGCCCAGAAGGUCAUCGUCGAGUGCGGAGGAUGAGUAGGGCUCCCCUGGGAGACUCCCUGCCGCUGGCGUGGACCAGGGGCCACCCCACGGCCUCCAGAGGCCCCUGUUCCCUGUGCUCUGUGAUUCCUGGCCAGCUCCUGCCCAGCAGGCUCCGUUGCCCCGGUCAGCUGCCCGAAGCCCCUCUCAGCUGCCUGCCUAAGCCCCUUGGAGCUGCAGCUUCGCUCAUCUUUGCAGGGGGAGAAAGAAGGACCUGAUUCUAGCCACCCACUUCUGUUCCCUGCGUCCUGGGCCACAGUGAUGCCGUCGGCAAAGCCCCACGGCUCCAAGGGGACCCCAUCCCUGUGGAUUCCACCAGCAUCUCUCGCAGCUGCCUCCAGCUCCGGAACCAAACUACGCCCGGCCCCACUCUGGGCAGCUGGUCCCUGCCCCUCUCCCGGGGUGCCACCGAAGGAGGUGGCUGGGGGAGAACUCAGAGCUUCUGCUCUCCAAGGUGGACAACAGGCGUCCUGGGCUGUCCUGUCCAAGCCGCCCUGAUGGACGCCCACACUGGGCCUCGCCUCCCGGCCUCCUGCCCCACCCGAAGCUUGUAACCCAGCCCCGGACAGAGGAGACCGAGGGCCUGCGGCCGAAUUCUCCGAUUCUCACUUUACUCUUGGCCGUGGCCUCUCACCGCCUCCCAAGGGCCUUAUUUCUGAGACCCUCCCCAGCCCUGAAUGCCCUCAGUCAUAGCACUAGCCUGGGGUCUGCUAGGGUUAGAGGGCUCCUUCUGGCCUCUUCGCCGCACCCGGCGCGCAGCCCCGAGCCCAGGGGUUAAGGGAGCAGCUUUGCUCUCCCGUGCACAUCCUCUGGGAGCCGGCGGCAGCAUCUCAGCCACAAUUAGCCGGCUCCCUCAUCGCUGCCCUAUAAAUAUUCAUUCUGGGAUUGUUACAAAGGUGCUUUUUAUAA